rnacentral:misc_RNA from 1 species
AAUGAUUUUAAAAGUAUUGAAGGGGACAAAGCUUUGGGACUGCAGUCUCUUCCGGUGGCAUUCGGUAUUGAUACCGCCAAAUGGAUAUGCGUAGGGGCAAUCGAUAUUACUCAGAUAUCAGUUGCAGGCUAUCUACUUGGUGCUGGGAAACUGCUUUAUGCGCUCGCUUUACUUGGAUUGAUCAUUCCACAAGUUAUUUUUCAGUUCCAGUAUCUAUUAAAAGACCCAGUUAAAUAUGAUGUAAAAUACCAGGCCAGUGCGCAGCCAUUCUUGAUUUUGGGCCUCUUAGUGACGGCCUUGGCUAUUAGCCAUUGAUACGAGGACUUACCGUAUUCCACCCGGAUUUAUACGUUGAUCGACUCGGGGUGAGGGAGCACAACAAUCUGGAAUGAUGAAGGUUAAGGUAGAUGUAUCAUUGGAAUGUUUUGGUUUUGGGCUUGUU